rnacentral:lncRNA from 1 species
ACUACAAUUUUUAGUUUAGAAACACGUUUUGUUGCACAUCGAUAAUGAAACUAGCGCAGACCGCGUUUCUCGGUUUGCAACGUUGCAGCUCCUCUAUCAUGUUUCCCUUUACCGCUCAUAAAAAAAAAAACAACAACUUCAUCAUCGUUUUUCCACGGUAUUUUGUUAUUUUUUACACUUGUUACUUUCGCUCUUUCAAAUUUAUUUUCAAAAAAUAUCGUGCAAAAAUUUUGACCGGUACUUGUUUUAUCUUGAGCAAAUAAAACACGAGCACAAUGUUUAAGCACCGCAACCGAUUUGGCAGCCUCACUAUGUUAUAUCGAAUUAGUAUGUAAGUUUGCUAGAAAAAAUUUACAUUUUUAAAACAAUUUCCGUUGCAAAAUUCUUUGUAAAAACCUUGUGUGUGCUUAUAUACCAAAAUAAAAGUUGAACAGAUCGGGAUGGAGAUUCAUGUGCAAUUUGAUGCUACACGAUACGAUCCGUGUAACAGGCACUGGUGGAACAUCAAAGGUCUUUUCUUAAAAGACCAAAAUCUCUGCCAGGCGAGGUGCACCCGGAAGCACGGUUACUAUUACGCAUCCAAGUUGUUCGAGCCCCACCUCGCGGCCGUCGCCACAAUCCGCUGGAAAGGCAUCAAGUGCUGGUGUGCUGUCCCUCAAAGUCUCCUGUCGCUCAUCGAAAAAUCCUACGGCAAAACGCUAGCCAAAAAAUACAGAAAGUAUAACAAGCUAGGCCUCACAGGCCGCGUGAGGAAGCGGAUUAUGGAGCAGUUCGCGGCUCACUACAGAGAGACGCAACAACCCAAGUUCCCGAUCUUCAUUUCGCAGGCGAAGAUGGCAAGGGAGUCCUUCAAGAUUUCCGAGUUGGCAUCGGAAUCGCCCUCGAAGAAAACGCAAGACACCUUGAUGCUCCCGGCAGCUUCAGCCGUGGUCUCGACCGUCGCCUCCCCGCAGAAGGUCCCAACCCCGCCCCAAAAGAUCCCAACCCCACCCAAAAGAACCCAAACCCCGCCGAGGAUCGAAGUUCUGCCUCCACCUCCGGAACCGCCAAAAUCCCCGCCGAAACCAACGGGACCGCAGUUCCCUCCGGAUCUCGCUGAGGCCGCACGCAAGAUGAACGCGGUCAACGCUGCCUUUGGAGUAGAUGCGGACGAGUAUUACGAGCGGAAAAUCGCCCGGGAAAAGUCGCUGCACUUGAGAGAUCAAGGAUUCCUAUGA